CGCCGCGCCGCGCCCCGGUUCCCACGGCGCCCGGCAAGGCGAACCAACCAGCCCGCCCGCCCAGCAAGCAGCCCCGCCGGGCCAGGCCGCGCGCGAACAUGGCGCUUGUCCCCUGCCAGGUGCUGCGGGUGGCCAUCCUGCUGUCCUAUUGCUCCAUUCUGUGCAACUACAAGGCCAUCGAAAUGCCCUCCCAUCAGACCUACGGGGGGAGCUGGAAGUUCCUGACCUUCAUUGAUCUGGUCAUCCAGGCUGUCUUCUUCGGCAUCUGUGUGCUGACUGACCUCUCCACUCUCCUGACCAGAGACAGCGGGAAUCAGGAGCAAGAGCGACAGCUGAGGAAGCUCAUCUCUCUCCGGGACUGGACGCUGGCUGUGCUGGCCUUUCCUGUCGGGGUUUUCGUUGUUGCGGUGUUCUGGACCAUCUAUGCCUAUGACAGAGAGAUGAUAUACCCAAAAUUGCUUGACAACUUCAUCCCAGGGUGGCUGAACCACGGAAUGCACACAACGGUUUUACCCUUUAUAUUAAUCGAGAUGAGGACAUCCCACCACCAGUAUCCCAGCAGGAGCAGCGGACUCGCCGCCAUAUGCACCUUCUCCGUGGGCUAUAUAUUAUGGUUUCAGAAGCCAUACCUUGACUGAAUUAAAGGUCCUCCUGAAGUGUCCUUGCACUCCAAAGAUGUAAUCCAGCAUGGUGUUGAACUUGUGACUUUCCCUCCUCCACCACUUCAGCACACGUUUUUCAGCCUGUACUGCCCCCAGAAACUAAGAUGGCCACAACCAGACAAGGAGCUCUCCAAGUCACCCAGGCCAGGUGCCCAGCAAGCCCCAGGAACAGACUUAAUUUUCAAGUGUGAGUUCUGGAGGAUUGAGUUCUUAUGCUUAAGUACUAUGCAGGCUAACCAUAGUACUUAACUGUCACCCCAGCCCAAACUACCAUAUUUCGCUUAUGCAAUCUUCAAUUGCUGGACAGCUCUCUUAUUAGAAUUUUUUAGGGGGAGUGGGGAUAGGGGUAGAACUUGGAAAGUAUCAAAUGCACAAAUUAAAAAAAAGAGAGAGAGAGAAAGAGCUGAUGAAGAAACUGCAUGUUCUCAUAACAUGGGAAGUUCCUGGCUGAACGUAGAGAACACAGUAAGAAGAGAUUCUGUCUGCCUCCUCUUCAGAGCUCCACCUAUCAGCUCCAUUAAACUAGUUGAAGUUCCGUGAACUCACCUCAGAAACAUGUUCAUUGCUCUGCCUGAACUAUUUGUUUCUGGGCCUCACAAUCAUCCUUAAUCUAUCUUUGAAUCUCAGAUCAGAUAUUCUCUGGCACUGUGACUCACCUGUGGUUUCCCCUUUCAAGGACUCACAACAUCAUCAGUGGCACAGCUUUGACAAACCCACAUACCACACUACACCACAACUAGGCUGUAAUCUUAUGGGCAAGAGCUAUGGCACUUCUCCUAUUAGUCACAUGGCCUGGGUAAAUGCCUGGUGUCUGGAAGGAACUUGCUAAGUCAAAAUAAUUAAUAGUGGAACAAAGGGAUAGUGUAUAUUGUUGAAAACUUCCAUCCAGGCCGGCAUCACAAUGCACACCUGUAAUCCAAGCACUUAGAGGCAGAAGUAGGAAGAUUUUCAUGUCAAUGCCAGAGGAAGAUCUUGUCUUAAAAAAAAAAAAAAGGCAACAACUAAUAGAUUGCUUGAAUCCUUGCACUUUGAAGAAGCUAAGAUGCAGGGCAGAACAGAUGGUGGGUGCCUUUCCCACACACUGGCAGUUGCAUUUCCUCAGAGAUGAAUUUCUCUAUCUUUAAAAAAAAUAAGUGAGAACUAGAGUAAGUAAUGUUUGUCAAAACAUAUUUUUCUUUCUAGAAAACGUUGAGAAUGAGUCUUUAGAAAUGAUUAAAUUAUCAGUUUUCUCAUUUUUUUUGGUUGUCCACACCGAGCAUUCCACUCUCAAUGAUAAUUUCUCAACACAACUCGAAGAAAGAAACAGGCAGUUUGCAGAGCUACGCACUGGCGGAGACAUGCAUGGUAAUAACCAGGAUUUCACAUAUAACCCAUCCUUAGAAAUGGCCUCUGAAGGACUGGGAUGAUGGCUCCCUAGGAAUAGUGCUUGCCAUGCAAGUGGCAGUUUGAAUCCCCAGAACCCACAGAAGGACAGAUGUGGAAGUGCAUGCAUCUGUAAUUUCAGCAGUCCUGUAGGGAGCUGAAAGGUGGAGACUGGAGGAUCCCCAAAAGCUUGCAGGCCAGCUAGUUUAACAUACUCUGCAGCAAAAAUGAUACCCUGUCUCAAAAGGUAGAAGAUGGGGACAGACACCCAAUGUAUCCAUAUUCACAUUGUAGCAUACACACAAACAUAAACAAUACUAAUAAUAAUGAUGAUAAUAUUAAUAAUAAUAAUAAUAUAAUAAAUAGUAUCCUAACAGACACAGUUUACUAGCAGUUUGCCAACCCCUAACACCUACAAAGACUUGUUGACUCAGUUAAAAUUUUGACUAUGUACACUUACUUCUUAAAGGUACCAAAUUAUAGAAAUCAAAGUUUUUAAUCAUAUAUCAAAUCAGUAGAGAUGUUGCCUAGACUUGAGUAAAUGAAAUAGACACACAGAGAAAAUAAAAUUAGAUUUAUAACACUGUACACUAAGCCUUUGAAUGGAAGUUUCCUUGAAGGGGUCACCAUAUAGAAGUAACUGAUACACAGAUAAUUAAGGGAACUUGAUCUGUUGAACAAAAGCAGACAAUGAUUCUCUGUCUUUUAAUAGUUUAUUCCUCAGUAUGUGAUUCCUUAAAGCAAUGACGUUGUUUGUUUUUAUGAGAUAAAUAGUGGGAAAUGGUCUUGAAUUGGCUCUCACUUUGCAGUCCAAAGUGUAUCUUAAGGCAUGGUCCCCUGUGCCUAUCUAGUGAUGAGCUGAGACAAAAACAAUGUUCCUUCAGAUUGCCACAUUCAAGGUAUUCAUUAACGAUAUUUAUCAGGGCUCUUGUGAGGAAGCUGCAUGGCCAACAUUGACCAGCCCUGUAUUGUAUGAAGUUGCUAGCAUCUGAGUAACAGGGAGCUCACCGCAAAGGCCAUCAGGGUGUGCUGGAUACAUCAUGUCACCGGCAUGUGGGUGUACCCUUUCCUGGAACAUAUUGGCUCAGGAGCUAGGAUCAUCUUCUUUG